AUUGAACGCUGGCGGCAUGCCUAACACAUGCAAGUCGAACGGUAACAGGUCUUUGGAUGCUGGCGAGGGGGGGACGGGCGAGAAAAACAGCGGAACGUGCGCAGACGAGGGGGGUAACGGGGCGAAAGCAUUGCGAAUACCGCGGACGAUCUAAGGGUGAAAGCAGGGGGCGGCAAGGCCUUGCGCGUUUGGAGCGGCCGAUGGCAGAGUAGGCAGAGGGUGGGAUAAAAGCUUACCAAGCCGACGAUCUGUAGCUGGCCUGAGAGGACGACCGGCCACACUGGGACUGAGACACGGCCCAGACUCCUACGGGAGGCAGCAGUGGGGAAUUUUGGACAAUGGGCGAAAGCCUGAUCCAGCAAUGCCGCGUGCAGGAAGAAGGCCUUCGGGUUGUAAACUACUUUUGUUCGGAACGAAAAGGCUCUGGCUAAUACCUGGGGGACAUGACGGUACCGUAAGAAUAAGCACCGGCUAACUACGUG
rnacentral:rRNA from 1 species